rnacentral:rRNA from 1 species
GACGAACGCUGGCGGCGUGCUUAACACAUGCAAGUCGAACGGAAAGGCCCUGCUUUUGUGGGGUGCUCGAGUGGCGAACGGGUGAGUAACACGUGAGUAACCUGCCCUUGACUUUGGGAUAACUUCAGGAAACUGGGGCUAAUACCGGAUAGGAGCUCCUGCUGCAUGGUGGGGGUUGGAAAGUUUCGGCGGUUGGGGAUGGACUCGCGGCUUAUCAGCUUGUUGGUGGGGUAGUGGCUUACCAAGGCUUUGACGGGUAGCCGGCCUGAGAGGGUGACCGGCCACAUUGGGACUGAGAUACGGCCCAGACUCCUACGGGAGGCAGCAGUGGGGAAUAUUGCACAAUGGGCGGAAGCCUGAUGCAGCAACGCCGCGUGCGGGAUGACGGCCUUCGGGUUGUAAACCGCUUUCGCCUGUGACGAAGCGUGAGUGACGGUAAUGGGUAAAGAAGCACCGGCUAACUACGUGCCAGCAGCCGCGGUGAUACGUAGGGUGCGAGCGUUGUCCGGAUUUAUUGGGCGUAAAGGGCUCGUAGGUGGUUGAUCGCGUCGGAAGUGUAAUCUUGGGGCUUAACCCUGAGCGUGCUUUCGAUACGGGUUGACUUGAGGAAGGUAGGGGAGAAUGGAAUUCCUGGUGGAGCGGUGGAAUGCGCAGAUAUCAGGAGGAACACCAGUGGCGAAGGCGGUUCUCUGGGCCUUUCCUGACGCUGAGGAGCGAAAGCGUGGGGAGCGAACAGGCUUAGAUACCCUGGUAGUCCACGCUGUAAACGGUGGGUACUAGGUGUGGGGUCCAUUCCACGGGUUCCGUGCCGUAGCUAACGCUUUAAGUACCCCGCCUGGGGAGUACGGCCGCAAGGCUAAAACUCAAAGGAAUUGACGGGGCCCCGCACAAGCGGCGGAGCAUGCGGAUUAAUUCGAUGCAACGCGUAGAACCUUACCUGGGUUUGACAUGGAUCGGGAGCGCUCAGAGAUGGGUGUGCCUCUUUUGGGGUCGGUUCACAGGUGGUGCAUGGCUGUCGUCAGCUCGUGUCGUGAGAUGUUGGGUUAAGUCCCGCAACGAGCGCAACCCUUGUUCACUGUUGCCAGCACGUUAUGGUGGGGACUCAGUGGAGACCGCCGGGGUCAACUCGGAGGAAGGUGGGGAUGACGUCAAGUCAUCAUGCCCCUUAUGUCCAGGGCUUCACGCAUGCUACAAUGGCUGGUACAGGGAGUGGCGAGCCUGUGAGGGUGAGCGAAUCUCGGAAAGCCGGUCUCAGUUCGGAUUGGGGUCUGCAACUCGACCUCAUGAAGUCGGAGUCGCUAGUAAUCGCAGAUCAGCAACGCUGCGGUGAAUACGUUCCCGGGGCU